rnacentral:rRNA from 1 species
AGUGAACGCUGGCGGCGUGCUUAACACAUGCAAGUCGAACGAGAACGGAUUAUAGCUUGCUAUAAUUGUCAGCUAAGUGGCGCACGGGUGAGUAAUGUAUAGGUAAUAUGCCUCUUACUACGGGAUAACAAAUGGAAACGUUUGCUAAUACCUUAUACUCCUUAUUAACAUAAGUUAAUAAGUGAAAGAUUUAUUGGUAAGAGAUUAGCCUGUAUUGUAUCAGUUAGUUGGUUGAGUAACGGCUUACCAAGACUAUGACACAUAACUGGUUUGAGAGGAUGAUCAGUCACACUGGAACUGAGACACGGUCCAGACUCCUACGGGAGGCAGCAGUGGGUAAUAUUGCACAAUGGACGAAAGUCUGAUGCAGCAACGCCGCGUGGAGGAUGACACAUUUCGGUGCGUAAACUCCUUUUAUAUGAGAAGAUAAUGACGGUAUUAUAUGAAUAAGCACCGGCUAACUCCGUGCCAGCAGCCGCGGUAA